GGGGAUGGGCCCGCGGCCUAUCAGCUUGUUGGUGAGGUAACGGCUCACCAAGGCAACGACGGGUAGCUGGUCUGAGAGGACGACCAGCCACACUGGGACUGCGACACGGCCCAGACUCCUACGGGAGGCAGCAGUGGGGAAUCUUGCGCAAUGGGCGAAAGCCUGACGCAGCGACGCCGCGUGGGGGAUGAAGGCCCUCGGGUUGUAAACCCCUUUCGGCAGGGACGAAGCGAACGUGACGGUACCUGCAGAAGAAGCCUCGGCUAACUACGUGCCAGCAGCCGCGGUAAGACGUAGGAGGCGAGCGUUGUCCGGAUUCAUUGGGCGUAAAGAGCGCGCAGGCGGCUUGGUAAGUCGGAUGUGAAAACCCGGGGCUCAACCCCGGACGUGCACCCGAUACUGCCCGGCUAGAGGUAGGUAGGGGAGAUCGGAAUUCCUGGUGUAGCGGUGAAAUGCGCAGAUAUCAGGAGGAACACCGGUGGCGAAGGCGGAUCUCUGGGCCUUACCUGACGCUCAGGCGCGAAAGCUAGGGGAGCGAACAGGAUUAGAUACCCUGGUAGUCCUAGCCGUAAACGUUGGGUGCUAGGUGUGGGCGGAUAUCGACCCCGUCCGUGCCGAAGCUAACGCAUUAAGCACCCCGCCUGGGGAGUACGGCCGCAAGGCUAAAACUCAAAGGAAUUGACGGGGCCCCGCACAAGCGGCGGAGCAUGCGGCUUAAUUCGAUGCGACGCGAAGAACCUUACCUGGGCUUGACAUGCAGGGUGAAACCCGUGAAAGCGGGCGCUCUUCGGAGCCUGCACAGGUGGUGCAUGGCUGUCGUCAGCUCGUGCCGUGAGGUGUUGCCUUAAGUGGCGCAACGAGCGCAACCCCUGUCCUUAGUUGCCAGCGGAUCAUGCCGGGAACUCUAGGGAGACUGCC
rnacentral:rRNA from 1 species